rnacentral:snRNA from 12 species
UUUUAAUCUGCGUUCACGCAUCUUUAAAAUUGGAACGAUACAGAGAAGAUUAGCAUGGCCCCUGCGCAAGGAUGACACGCAUAAUCCGAGAUUAGGUUCCUUUAUUU